rnacentral:rRNA from 1 species
CGUAACAAGGUUUCCGUAGGUGAACCUGCGGAAGGAUCAUUAUCGAAAUGAAAGAUAGAGAUAGGUAGAGGGGACUGUCGCUGGCUUGACCUAGUCUUGCAUGUGCACGUCCUUCUCUCCGUCCUAUACACACACACACCUGUGCACAUUUUGUAGAUCCUCUUGAAAGAGAGAGAUCUAUGUYUUAAUCACAUCACAUACUAUUGUACGGCUAGAAUGAAAUAUAAACACAUAAUACAACUUUCAGCAACGGAUCUCUUGGCUCUCGCAUCGAUGAAGAACGCAGCGAAUUGCGAUAAGUAAUGUGAAUUGCAGAUUUCCAGUGAAUCAUCGAAUCUUUGAACGCAUCUUGCGCUCCUUGGUAUUCCGAGGAGCAUGCCUGUUUGAGUGUCAUUUAAAUCAUCAACCAUAUCUUUGAUAUGGCUUGGAGUUGGGAGCUGCUGGCAGGAAUGACAGCUCUCCUUAAAUUUAUUAGCAAUCGAGUUGGCUAGUCUUUGGCAUGCACGGCCUUGGACGUGAUAAUGAUCGUCCUGGCUGGAGUGUCUUUGAUAGGACUAUGCAGCAUAGAUAGCUUCUAACAAAUCAAAGGAAAGUGCUUGUAGUUGUACUUGGUCAGAAAUAGGGAAAUGGAUCCAUGUAACUUAGCUACUAGGCAGUCCAUCUAGGCUGGCGAACACAAGGAAAAAUGGAUCUGAUCUGCUUAGACUAUGAUCAAUACUAGAUCAAGGACUUUGUCUAACAUAUAAUUACUUGAACUUGACCUCAAAUCAGGUAGGACUACCCGCUGAACUUAAGCAU